CCUCUGGCCAUCACCAGUAGGCGGUAGGUGAAGUGUCUUGCCCAAGGACACAACGACCGAGACUGUCCGAGCCGGGGCUCGAACCGGCAACCUUCCGGUUACAAGACGAAUUGCCAACGAUCGCCUAAUGUUAUUCGAUCGCCCCGAGUGAAUAACAUCAGCAUGUAGCUCAUGCUAAUAUUACAUUUUGACAUUUUUAAGCUAACAAUAACUUAGCGUUCUCGCUACUCACCAUGCUGUUAAACAGACUCUCCUUGACGUCAGGACUGAGCCACGGUUUAGUAUUUGUGAAACACAGUACAGUCCUGGAUCCACGGGAAACAGGCGGGGGUCCAGGAAGGUCUGUGCAGAGAGAAGAAAAUGGAAAACCAAGAAACACGAUGGCAGACAAACAGAUUCACAAGAGAGAGCUGGGACUACAUUAAUGGGGGUAAAUACAACAAUCCAGCAAAGAACAGCACUCCACCAAGGCCUUAAGUACCGGCAGGAACAAUCAUAGAUGAUGAGCAGCAGGUGAGUGAUGAGUGGGUGUGGAGAACAAGGCGGGAACUAGGAACCAGAUGCCACCAUGGUGGGGGGGAGUGAAGAGGGAGAGAUACAAACAGAACACCAGAGACUAGGGCUGUGUCCCAAUUCAGAGACCUGUAUAGGAAUUUCUUUUACUUGUGUAUUAAUCA